CGGGACACGUGGUAUCCUGUCUGAAUAUGGGGGGACCAUCCUCCAAGGCUAAAUACUCCUGACUGACCGAUAGUGAACCAGUACCGUGAGGGAAAGGCGAAAAGAACCCCGGCGAGGGGAGUGAAAAAGAACCUGAAACCGUGUACGUACAAGCAGUGGGAGCACGCUUAGGCGUGUGACUGCGUACCUUUUGUAUAAUGGGUCAGCGACUUAUAUUCUGUAGCAAGGUUAACCGAAUAGGGGAGCCGAAGGGAAACCGAGUCUUAACUGGGCGUUAAGUUGCAGGGUAUAGACCCGAAACCCGGUGAUCUAGCCAUGGGCAGGUUGAAGGUUGGGUAACACUAACUGGAGGACCGAACCGACUAAUGUUGAAAAAUUAGCGGAUGACUUGUGGCUGGGGGUGAAAGGCCAAUCAAACCGGGAGAUAGCUGGUUCUCCCCGAAAGCUAUUUAGGUAGCGCCUCGUGAAUUCAUCUCCGGGGGUAGAGCACUGUUUCGGCAAGGGGGUCAUCCCGACUUACCAACCCGAUGCAAACUGCGAAUACCGGAGAAUGUUAUCACGGGAGACACACGGCGGGUGCUAACGUCCGUCGUGAAGAGGGAAACAACCCAGACCGCCAGCUAAGGUCCCAAAGUCAUGGUUAAGUGGGAAACGAUGUGGGAAGGCCCAGACAGCCAGGAUGUUGGCUUAGAAGCAGCCAUCAUUUAAAGAAAGCGUAAUAGCUCACUGGUCGAGUCGGCCUGCGCGGAAGAUGUAACGGGGCUAAACCAUGCACCGAAGCUGCGGCAGCGACGCUGAUGCGUUGUUGGGUAGGGGAGCGUUCUGUAAGCCUGUGAAGGUGUGCUGUGAGGCAUGCUGGAGGUAUCAGAAGUGCGAAUGCUGACAUAAGUAACGAUAAAGCGGGUGAAAAGCCCGCUCGCCGGAAGACCAAGGGUUCCUGUCCAACGUUAAUCGGGGCAGGGUGAGUCGACCCCUAAGGCGAGGCCGAAAGGCGUAGUCGAUGGGAAACAGGUUAAUAUUCCUGUACUUGGUGUUACUGCGAAGGGGGGACGGAGAAGGCUAUGUUGGCCGGGCGACGGUUGUCCCGGUUUAAGCGUGUAGGCUGGUUUUCCAGGCAAAUCCGGAAAAUCAAGGCUGAGGCGUGAUGACGAGGCACUACGGUGCUGAAGCAACAAAUGCCCUGCUUCCAGGAAAAGCCUCUAAGCAUCAGGUAACAUCAAAUCGUACCCCAAACCGACACAGGUGGUCAGGUAGAGAAUACCAAGGCGCUUGAGAGAACUCGGGUGAAGGAACUAGGCAAAAUGGUGCCGUAACUUCGGGAGAAGGCACGCUGA
rnacentral:rRNA from 1 species